CUUGCAGAUCCUUGCUCUCAGGAGAGCAGCUGUGAGCCUUCCUGUGCCUUGCUCCCCUCUGUGGCCAGCGGGCUGCUGCUGCUGCCUUCCUUCCUGGGUGGGUGAUGUUCCCCUGGGCCACAAGGAGCUUUUCCAAGCUAACUGCUCCUUAGCUGUGCAAGGAUGUUGGUAUUUUAGGACCACUUUCUUCAGUUCUUUCUCCUAAGCAAACUUAGGUCCCCCAAAAGAGAGCAGAGGUGUUGCAGUGCAGCUGCGGGCACGUGGCGGGCAGCAGCAGCCAGCUCCCAGGGUCUGCCCCACGCGGUGCUGCAUCUGCCUUGGUGGGCCUGGGCAGGAGAGGUAAAUACUCAUCAAUUCUGACUGAAUCUUCCGAAAUGAUGGAGGUCGGUGCUUCCUGCAGCUGCUGUGCAGUGGUGUUGCUGCUGAAGAUGUUACUCACUCAAAUGAGAAGGGCUAUGCUGGUUAACAGAAAGGUCAGGGUGGUGUUGCACAAAUAUUUGGGGAGACACAAAUUCUGUCUUGAUAAUGUUGAUAUAUGCUAAGAAAAUUUGCAUUAAAAGUGGUGGGAUAACAAGGAAAA